UACGAAGGGGGCUAGCGUUGCUCGGAAUCACUGGGCGUAAAGCGCACGUAGGCGGACUCUUAAGUCGGUGGUGAAAUCCUGGAGCUCAACUCCAGAACUGCCUUCGAUACUGAGAGUCUCGAGUCCGGGAGAGGUGAGUGGAACUGCGAGUGUAGAGGUGAAAUUCGUAGAUAUUCGCAAGAACACCAGUGGCGAAGGCGGCUCACUGGCCCGGUACUGACGCUGAGGUGCGAAAGCGUGGGGGAGCAAACAGG
rnacentral:rRNA from 1 species